ACCUUUGAUUUGGAUUUCAACGUCUUAGAUUAAUUGAGAUAAGAUCUCUUGGGCGUGAAGGAGAGGGUGUGCAUGGGAUAUGAAGUGGUUGUGCGACAAAAAUAAAAGGGGGCAUGAGUUUUGACGUGAAAGGGUGCGGCGACUUCUUUUGGACAUCAUCUCUUCUUCCCAACGCCUCUUUCUCCCUUCUCCACUUCAUGUCCACAUGCAGAUCUGAUAGAGAUCAGACCUAAGAGAGAAAAAGAGAGAAGAAGAGAAGAAGGGUUCUUCUCUUCAUGGCGUCUGGUUCAGAUUUCAUCGGAUCUGCGUGAAAGAGUUCGCGCAGUGAUCUCUUUUUUCAAGAUCUGGAAGAAAAGAUCUAGAUCCAAGGAUGAGGAGCGAGAUCUGCAAGGUGCUUGCACACCGGUGAUUUCGGUGCUCCGAUCAGGCAUCUCCAUGUGGAUACCAGUAG
rnacentral:lncRNA from 1 species